CCUACGGGGGGCUGCAGUGGGGAAUAUUGGACAAUGGGGGGAACCCUGAUCCAGCCAUGCCGCGUGUGUGAAGAAGGCCCUCGGGUUGUAAAGCACUUUCAGUGAGGAAGAACGCCUGGUGGUUAAUACCCAUCAGGAAAGACAUCACUCACAGAAGAAGCACCGGCUAACUCCGUGCCAGCAGCCGCGGUAAUACGGAGGGUGCGAGCGUUAAUCGGAAUUACUGGGCGUAAAGCGCGCGCAGGUGGCUUGAUAAGCCGGUUGUGAAAGCCCCGGGCUCAACCUGGGAACGGCAUCCGGAACUGUCAAGCUAGAGUGCAGGAGAGGGAGGUAGAAUUCCCGGUGUAGCGGUGAAAUGCGUAGAGAUCGGGAGGAAUACCAGUGGCGAAGGUGGCCUUCUGGACUGACACUGACACUGAGGUGCGAAAGCGUGGGUAGCAAACAGGAUUAGAUACCCGGGUAGUC
rnacentral:rRNA from 1 species